AAUUUUCUAAGGUUUAUGCUUUA
rnacentral:snRNA from 1 species